UACGUAGGGUGCGAGCGUUAAUCGGAAUUACUGGGCGUAAAGCGUGCGCAGGCGGUUUUGUAAGCCAGAUGUGAAAUCCCCGGGCUUAACCUGGGAACUGCAUUUGUGACUGCAUGGCUGGAGUGCGGCAGAGGGGGAUGGAAUUCCGCGUGUAGCAGUGAAAUGCGUAGAUAUCAAGUGGAACACCAGUGGCGAAGGCGAAUCCCUGGAAAAUACCUGACACUGAGGCACGAAAGCUAGGGGAGCAAACAGGAGUUAGAAAACCC
rnacentral:rRNA from 1 species